rfam:Populus trichocarpa scaffold_13_contig_4, whole genome shotgun sequence.
AUCCCAGACAAUGUUGCUUUUGUGAUGAUCUGAUUCGUGGGAGGCACAUACCAAAUGGGAGUUCACUGAUAACGAUUUUGGUCUUUGAAAAGUGUUUUACUAAUACCUAACCACACAUUC